AUACGGAGGAUCCGAGCGUUAUCCGGAUUUAUUGGGUUUAAAGGGUGCGCAGGCGGCCAUUUAAGUCAGCGGUUAAAUCGUGGGGCUCAACCCCAUUCUGCCGUUGAUACUGGGUGGCUUGAUUGCGGUCGAGGUUGGCGGAAUUCGUUGUGUAGCGGUGAAAUGCAUAGAUAUGACGAAGAACACCGAUUGCGUAGGCAGCUGACCAGACCGCAAAUGACGCUCAUGUUCGAAAGUGCGGGGAUCGAACAGGAUUAGAUACCCUGGUAGUCCGCACAGUAAACGAUGAAUACUUGUUUUCGGCGAUAUAAUGUCGGAGGCAAAGCGAAAGCGAUAAGUAUUCCACCUGGGGAGUACGCCGGCAACGGUGAAACUCAAAUGAAUUGGCGGGG
rnacentral:rRNA from 1 species